GUUUUUCAAGCAGAUUUCCUACAAAGCACAGUUACUGUAAUGCUGAGCCCGUGAUGGCUACAGUCAAAGAAGUUGGCUUCCGGGAAGGCUUUGUAGCCUCUGUACCAUUGACCAGUUGGUAUACUUACCGCGCAAUCUAUCAGCAUCGUCCAUUUUACUGUCUUACUUCCAUCAGUCAUUGGUGACUCUGCCUGAGAACAAUUUAUCAAGACUUAUGAUUCAAGAGUUGAAGUGUGGAGUCAGAUGUAUCCCACAGAAACUCCUAUAGCCUGCAGGAACGCUGGGAGCCUCCACCAUCCCUCCUGUGGUGGGGACUGUCUAUGGAGCAG
rnacentral:lncRNA from 1 species